AUUGAACGCUGGCGGCAGGCUUAACACAUGCAAGUCGAGCGGAGAUGAGGUGCUUGCACCUUAUCUUAGCGGCGGACGGGUGAGUAAUGCUUAGGAAUCUGCCUAUUAGUGGGGGACAACAUUCCGAAAGGAAUGCUAAUACCGCAUACGUCCUACGGGAGAAAGCAGGGGAUCUUCGGACCUUGCGCUAAUAGAUGAGCCUAAGUCGGAUUAGCUAGUUGGUGGGGUAAAGGCCUACCAAGGCGACGAUCUGUAGCGGGUCUGAGAGGAUGAUCCGCCACACUGGGACUGAGACACGGCCCAGACUCCUACGGGAGGCAGCAGUGGGGAAUAUUGGACAAUGGGGGGAACCCCGAUCCAGCCAUGCCGCGUGUGUGAGGAAGGCCUUAUGGUUGUAAAGCACUUUAAGCGAGGAGGAGGCUACUGAGACUAAUACUCUUGGAUAGUGGACGUUACUCGCAGAAUAAGCACCGGCUAACUCUGUGCCAGCCGCCGCCGUAAGAC
rnacentral:rRNA from 1 species